rnacentral:rRNA from 1 species
CACGCUGUAAACGAUGGAUACUAGGUGUGGGGGGUAUCGACCCCCUCCGUGCCGCAGUUAACACAAUAAGUAUCCCACCUGGGGAGUACGGCCGCAAGGUUGAAACUCAAAGGAAUUGACGGGGGCCCGCACAAGCAGUGGAGUAUGUGGUUUAAUUCGAAGCAACGCGAAGAACCUUACCAGGGCUUGACAUCCAAGGAAUCUGGCAGAGAUGCUGGAGUGCCUUAACUGGACCCUUGAGACAGGUGG